rnacentral:rRNA from 1 species
AACGAACGCUGGCGGCAUGCCUAACACAUGCAAGUCGAACGAGACCUUCGGGUCUAGUGGCGCACGGGUGCGUAACGCGUGGGAACCUGCCCUUAGGUUCGGAAUAACUCCCCGAAAGGGGUGCUAAUACCGGAUAAUGUCUUCGGACCAAAGAUUUAUCGCCUUUGGAUGGGCCCGCGUUGGAUUAGCUAGUUGGUAGGGUAAAAGCCUACCAAGGCGACGAUCCAUAGCUGGUCUGAGAGGAUGAUCAGCCACACUGGGACUGAGACACGGCCCCGACUCCUACGGGAGGCAGCAGUGGGGAAUAUUGGACAAUGGGCGAAAGCCUGAUCCAGCAAGGCCGCGUGAGUGAUGAAGGCCUUAGGGUUGUAAAGCUCUUUUACCCGGGAUGACAAUGACAGGACCGGGAGAAUAAGCUCCGGCGAACUCCGU